rnacentral:rRNA from 11 species
AUCUUCGGCCAUAGGACAGAGAAAAUACCGCAUCCCGUCCGAUCUGCGCAGUCAAGCUCUGUACCGCUUAGUUAGUACCAUAGUGGGGGACCAUAUGGGAAUCCUGAGUGCUGAAGUU